rnacentral:lncRNA from 1 species
UUUUCUACGGCCCUGAUCUCGCCAUCUAUUUUUGUCUUACCUGUGACAUUAAUUAGGUCAUCUUAAUUACCGCAGUCUAUUCAUCAUUAUAGCCGACCUCGGAACUUGCUUCGAUGACUAUUCGACACGACGGCUAACCUUUCUUCUUCGCCAAGCCUCUAAUUCCCUUUUAUACUCAACCUUUGUCUUUUUCAUUUCUCUUUACUUCUUCCUCGUUCUCUUCGACCUCUUCUCCAUCUCUCGUCCACAGCUUUUGCUCACUUUCUUCUUCCUUAGCAUCUUUUCGCUUCGAGUAAUGACGCCACUUCCGCCUUUACCGACUCGUUCUUCGCUAGAUUAUACCCUGCUUGAAUCAUAUCUCGCCACGGACCCUACUAGAUUCAUUUU